rnacentral:other from 1 species
CUCUGCCUGCUGUGUUUGUGAUACCGGCAUACCUAUUUUUGAGCCAAUAAUACCAAGAAUGGGAUGUCAAUAUUUACCCGUGAAAUGCGCCCGCCCUAGAGGUUUAAGAGUACAUGAAACGGGUGUGAGACGGCCCACCUGUUAAUUCAGGUUCAAAAUGGCCCCGGUACACGGCACAAGCGGGCUUUUA